rnacentral:misc_RNA from 1 species
GCGCCGCCUCCCUGUGAAGCACCUCUGGCCCCACUUCGUCGCCGAUGACCCCAAGCGCGCCGCCCCCGUCCUCCGCGCCGUCCUCUACACCACGUCCAUCCGCUCCAUCCGCCGUACGCACCAAGACUGCGCCACCGUCCGCUCCAUCCUCCGCGGCCUCCGCGUCGCCGUCGACGAGCGCGACGUAUCCAUGGACGCCGCCUACCGCCGUGAGCUCCAGUCCCUCCUCGGCAAGCAGCCCCUUUCCCUCCCCCACCUCUUCGUCGCUGGCAAACACAUCGGCGGCGCCGAUGAGAUCCGCCAGCUCCACGAGGCCGGCGAACUCAUGAAGAUCCUCGACGGCGUCCCGGUACAGGAUCCCGGCUACGUCUGCGCGGUAUGCGGCGGCGCCCGCUUCAUCCCCUGCUCCCCCUGCAGGGGCAGCCGCAAGGUGUUCGUCGAGGAGGAGGGGAGGAUGCGGCGGUGCGAGGAGUGCAACGAGAACGGAUUGGUACGGUGCCCUAACUGCUGCUCCUAUUGAUGAUGAUGAAUUAGGACUCCGGAUAGAUGUAUAAUUAGGGUUUCGCGAUAUUGGCGGAUUGGAUUUCGACGGAGAU